rnacentral:rRNA from 1 species
GAUGAACGCUGGCGGCGUGCCUAAUACAUGCCAGUCGAGCGAACAGAUGAGGAUCUUGCUCCUCUGACGUUAGCGGCGGACGGGUGAGUAACACGUGGAUAACCUACCUAUAAGACUGGGAUAACUACGGGAAACCGGAGCUAAUACCGGAUAAUAUAUUGAACCGCAUGGUUCAAUAGUGAAAGACGGUUUUGCUGUCACUUAUAGAUGUUUCCGCGCCGCAUUAGCUAGUUGGUAAGGUAACGGCUUACCAAGGCAACGAUGCGUAGCCGACCUGAGAGGGUGAUCGGCCACACUGGAACUGAGACACGGUCCAGACUCCUACGGGAGGCAGCAGUAGGGAAUCUUCCGCAAUGGGCGAAAGCCUGACGGAGCAACGCCGCGUGAGUGAUGAAGGUCUUCGGAUCGUAAAACUCUGUUAUUAGGGAAGAACAAAUGUGUAAGUAACUAUGCACGUCUUGACGGUACCUAAUCAGAAAGCAACGGCUAACUACGUG